UGGGCUUCUUGCAACAUGCUGAGCUAUUAUUCCCUGGUGGGGUCAUGCAUCUUGUCAGCCACUUAACAGCAGUGGCUGCAGGACACAUUUGGCCAUUAUGUAAUCAGAAAAACCCAAACUUUUAGACCUUGCCUGUAAGGAUUUCAGUCUUCUGCAGAGGAACAAUUGAAAGAUGUAUCACAAUGUACUUACAGUGCAGCAACAGCUUGUUCUGUAUGUGUGUCUUGUUUCCUUGUGAGAACUCAUUCAGGACAGAAGUGAAAAGCAAAGUUAAUGCAGACAGUUCUGCUUUUGCAAAGUCCUUCUGAUUCUCAGUGCUGAGACUCUACUCUCAUGAAGGCGCCAUCAGGCUUUGUUCACAUUCCCUGAUGACAGAAAGCACCAGCAAAAAUUGGCAGAGGAGAGCUUUCCUGAUGAUGAGGAAUCCUGUCAUGGGGAUAGGGGAGAUAGUGAUUGUGACAGGGCCUGGGGCUGCCUCUGGGAUCUGUAAACUUCCACUGCCCUCAGUGACAAGCACCCUCAGUGGGACCAGCCAUGCAGCAAGAGGUUUUGAAAUGGAGAAGAGAGAGAGAACCUCCUCCCUAUCACAGGUCACCAAAAUCCCAGUGAUCCUCCAGAGUAUUUAGUAUUAUAAUGCUUGGCAGUAUUGUAGUAAU